GACGAACGCUGGCGGCGUGCUUAACACAUGCAAGUCGAGCGGUAAGGCCCUUUCGGGGGUACACGAGCGGCGAACGGGUGAGUAACACGUGGGUGACCUGCCCUCAGCUCUGGGAUAAGCCUGGGGAAACUGGGUCUAAUACUGGAUAUGACUCCACGGUGCAUGUCGUGGGGUGGAAAGCCUUGUGCGGCUGAGGAUGGGCCCGCGGCCUAUCAGCUUGUUGGUGGGGNGAUGGCCUACCAAGGCGACGACGGGUAGCCGGCCUGAGAGGGCGACCGGCCACACUGGGACUGAGACACGGCCCA
rnacentral:rRNA from 1 species